CUGGAAUAGAUAAAGGGGAAAAUAACUUCCCUGUCCUGCCUGAUGGGUAAGUAACCCGCCUGCUCAAGGGUAGCUUUUAUUUUCAUUUGUUUGGUUUUUAUCUUAUUUCGUUUAGGUGUUUGGCAGCGAAGAAGGAGGUUGGAGGAAAUCAGAAGUGUUUCAGCCCCUUGAAGCUUUCUGGUACCUGGAAGCCUCCUCACUUCCACCUAGCGUCUUUCACCACUGCCCAUAGCCACCUGAAGUUCACGUAUGUUACAAUAUCAGGCGUGAGCUGUGCUCCAGCACGCGCUGACGGGAAUAGUCCGAGAAGACUGGCUACAGAAGGCAUUACCUGCCACGUAAGGUUUCAUUAUGCCUUCCUGCCUCACAGAACAGCUGUAACAUUAAACCCAUUGAAAUCUGUAAAGUGCUCAGAGAUCUACUGAAGGGAGGCAGGACAGAAGUAAAAGGUACUCAAUUUUCAUCGCGUUUUAUCAGGCAAGAGAGUUUCCCGAAUGUCUUCGUAACAAAUAAGAAUAAAUAGCUGCACAUGUAAAAUGUAUCCUGCGCUCACUAAUAGGUAUCUUCCGGGCAGUGGUUGAGGAGAAUCUCUAUUUAAGAACAGCGUAGAUCUGAAGACUUGAAUUCAUUUUUCAAUACCUUUCUUAGGGCCAUAGCCUUAUGCACUUCACUAGUGCAUGAAUACUAUCCAAAUCUACUGGCAUUCGAGUAAUAGUGGCAAAUAGUUUGAUUGUUUUCUCCUGUCAAAUUUCUACUAGAUUUUCAAAUAAAUC
rnacentral:lncRNA from 1 species